UAAUUUAGAUGACCUCCUAGAACUUGUUCUAGUUAGGUUCAUUCUUUUUUACUGUGAACUGUUUUAAUUUUCAGCGUUUGAGGAAUGUCUUUUAGUCAUAGGGAUAGACUAUUAGAAUGUUAACCGAGCUGAAGUCAGGUUUAGACCUGGUAUCCUAUUAAUUAUUUACCAAAAGAAUUCAGUAUUAUUAUUGUAACAUAAGCGUAAAAAACUUAUAAAACAACUUUUAACAACGGAUCUCUUGGUUCU
rnacentral:misc_RNA from 1 species